AUUGAACGCUGGCGGCAUGCUUUACACAUGCAAGUCGAACGGCAGCGCGGGCUUCGGCCUGGCGGCGAGUGGCGAACGGGUGAGUAAUACAUCGGAACGUGCCCAGUAGUGGGGGAUAGCUCGGCGAAAGCCGGAUUAAUACCGCAUACGACCUGAGGGUGAAAGCGGGGGAUCUUCGGACCUCGCGCUAUUGGAGCGGCCGAUGGCAGAGUAGCUAGGUGGUGGGGUAACGGCCUACCAAGGCGACGAUCUGUAGCUGGUCUGAGAGGACGACCAGCCACACUGGGACUGAGACACGGCCCAGACUCCUACGGGAGGCAGCAGUGGGGAAUUUUGGCCAAUGGGCGAAAGCCUGAUCCAGCAAUGCCGCGUGUGUGAUGAAGGCCUUCGGGUUGUAAAGCCCUUUUGGCGGGAACGAAAAGGACUGUGCCAAUACCACGGUUCGAUGACGGUACCCGCAGAAUAAGCACCGGCUAACUACGUG
rnacentral:rRNA from 1 species